rnacentral:rRNA from 1 species
AUUGAACGCUGGCGGCAUGCCUAACACAUGCAAGUCGAACGGCAGCACGGACUGGUUUACCAGUUGGGUGGCGAGUGGCGCACGGGUGAGUAAAGCAUAGGAAUAUACCUUAAAGAGGGGGAUAACUUGGGGAAACUCAGGCUAAUACCGCGUAAGCUCUAAGGAGGAAAGCUGGGGACCGCAAGGCCUGGCGCUUUAAGAUUAGCCUAUGUCCGAUUAGCUAGUUGGUAGGGUAAAGGCCUACCAAGGCGACGAUCGGUAGCUGGUCUGAGAGGAUGAGCAGCCACACUGGGACUGAGACACGGCCCAGACUCCUACGGGAGGCAGCAGUGGGGAAUAUUGGACAAUGGGGGCAACCCUGAUCCAGCGAUGCCGCGUGUGUGAAGAAGGCCUAAGGGUUGUAAAGCACUUUCGGUGGGGAGGAGAGGACAUUGGUUAAGAGCUGGUGUUUGAGGCGUUACCCACAAAAGAAGCACCGGCUAACUCCGUGCCAGCCGCCGCCGUAA